rnacentral:lncRNA from 1 species
AUGUGUGGGCCCCUUUCUUCGAGUGGGGGUGCAGGCGGGAGGCGGCCCGCAUACACACGGCCCCGGACAGCUCUGUGUCUAAGGCCUCAGCAGCAGUGCGGGCUGCCUGGGGUACCAGCCUGUCUGCCUCUUUUGGAGCUUACAGGGUCGAGGAGGAGGGGCGGGAGGAAAGGCAUGCGGGAAGGAGGGGACCAGGCCUUGCAGAUGCCCCCUACAUCCUCCCGUCUGCCAGUCCCGGGAGGCCUGAAUGAUCCUCUGGCAGGCCCUGUGCUGCCGCUGGGGCACACAGCCCCAGACAGGCACACGUGUGCGUGCAGGGAGCUGGCAGGGGGCCACCCGCGCUCUGCUGCCGUUAGCCACGCACCCCCUCCCGCCCUAACACGGCUCCUGACUGGGCAAGACGCUCCGAGCUGCCUGACAGAUGCUGCUCUGAGCGUGCGCCCGGGCGCCUGUCCCUCUCCAGGGAGCCUUGGGCCCCCCAGGGUCAGGGUGUCCCCUCGGGUGCCGUGUGCACGUGUGGCCCUGCGUGAGCGCCAGUCCAACAGGCACAUGUGCGUGUGCACGCACUCCCCCCCCCCCGUCCACCCCUCCCCGCUGUCAGCGGCGCUGAUGACAUUGGCGCAGAGGAAAGUGAUGACAAAUGCCCGUUAUCAGCGAACGAGGCCGAUGACAAAUGCGCGGGCGCCCGAGCAGCCCCAUUACGCUGUAAUAACAGAAGAUGGAUGGCCUGGCAGGCCCCCCAUCCCAUCCCCCCCCCCCACCGCCCCGCGCCGGUAACGGGAGCGAGGCGGCUCUACCCGCCCGCGGGAGCCAAGACUCCACAGCCGGGCCACCAGGGCCGCCAGUCACGGCGGGACCCGGGACGCCCAGGCCGAGGAGACAGGAGACCACGCUGCCAGCUGCCGGUGGCGGAGGAACAAAGCCGAGCGCUCCACGCGCACGCAGGGGGCGCGCUGGGCGCCGCCUGCCCGCGGCCAGGACACGCAGCUGUGUGCACACAUGGCCUGCCCAAGCGCCAGCCGCCUGUGUCCUGGUGCCCUGCACCUGCAGCUCUUGUCCAGGUACCACCCUGACCUCACAGGUCCACACACGCGUCAUGGGCAGGCAUCUGCCGCUGGACCUGGGUACAUAAAUCCACGACCCCUCCAGUUCAUCUGCCAGCCCGCAGAAACCCCGUAUGUCCACACACAAGGAUGCGCCAAUAGGACUGCACACACUUGGGCAUGGAAAUACCACAGCCUUAAGCAGAGAUGCUGGGGCGUGCACACAAGCCCUAAACACAAAUCAGGCCGUCCACACACACCCCACACACGUACAAAAGAUGCCCACAGCUGCAUCAGCACCGUUACCUGAGCCCCUAGUGUGUGCGCCAGGACGAGGAACACCAACAUCCCUGUGUUCUGGAGUUUCAGUUUACCGGAGGAAGCCAGAAGGUGAUUUGUGCUUUGAGUAUGUAGUUUGUAAUGUGACAUUUCCAACUGGAAAAUCAGGGGAGUCUUCCGGGAGGAGGUGGCUCAUGGAAGAGGGAAUUUUCUAGAGGAAUUGGAUUCCAAAUGUAAGAUGGGGAAAGGGGAAAGUGUAGAAAGCACUGGGCCAUGUGCCUGGGUGAAUGGUCUCGAGUGUGGCAGGAAUGAAGCAUGCCAGACAGCCCGGAGCCAGCGAGGAGGUGGGCCUGGGUCCACGCGGGAGACUGGGAGGCCUGUUCUCCCAGCAGACGGGCGAGGAGGUGGUCAGUGAGAACAGAACCACGGGGGAGGGGCAGGCAGGGCUGGCUCCC